AUUGCCUCAGUAACGGCGAGUGAAGCGGCAACAGCUCAAAUUUGAAAUCUGGCCCUAGGCCCGAGUUGUAAUUUGCAGAGGAUGCUUUUGGCGCGGUGCCUUCCGAGUUCCCUGGAACGGGACGCCAUAGAGGGUGAGAGCCCCGUCUGGUUGGACACCAAGCCUCUGUAAAGCUCCUUCGACGAGUCGAGUAGUUUGGGAAUGCUGCUCUAAAUGGGAGGUAUAUGUCUUCUAAAGCUAAAUACCGGCCAGAGACCGAUAGCGCACAAGUAGAGUGAUCGAAAGAUGAAAAGCACUUUGGAAAGAGAGUUAAACAGCACGUGAAAUUGUUGAAAGGGAAGCGUUUACGACCAGACUUGGGCCGGUUGAUCAUCCAGCGUUCUCGCUGGUGCACUCUGCCGGUCCAGGCCAGCAUCAGUUCGCCCCGGGGGAUAAAGGCGGCGGGAAUGUAGCUCCUCCGGGAGUGUUAUAGCCCAUCGUGCAAUACCCUGUGGUGGACUGAGGUUCGCGCUCUGCAAGGAUGCUGGCGUAAUGGUCGUCAACGACCCGUCUUGAAACACGGACCAAGGAGUCGUCUUCGUAUGCGAGUGUUCGGGUGUCAAACCCCUACGCGUAAUGAAAGUGAACGCAGGUGAGAGCUUCGGCGCAUCAUCGACCGAUCCUGAUGUUCUCGGAUGGAUUUGAGUAAGAGCAUACGGGGCCGGACCCGAAAGAAGGUGAACUAUGCCUGUAUAGGGUGAAGCCAGAGGAAACUCUGGUGGAGGCUCGCAGCGGUUCUGACGUGCAAAUCGAUCGUC
rnacentral:rRNA from 1 species